rnacentral:rRNA from 1 species
GACGAACGCUGGCGGCGUGCUUAACACAUGCAAGUCGAGCGGUAAGGCCCUUUCGGGGGUACACGAGCGGCGAACGGGUGAGUAACACGUGGGUGACCUGCCCUCAGCUCUGGGAUAAGCCUGGGAAACCGGGUCUAAUACUGGAUAUGACUCCAUGACGCAUGUUGUGGGGUGGAAAGCCUUGUGCGGCUGAGGAUGGGCCCGCGGCCUAUCAGCUUGUUGGUGGGGUGANGGCCUACCAAGGCGACGACGGGUAGCCGGCCUGAGAGGGCGACCGGCCACACUGGGACUGAGACACGGCCCAGACUCCUACGGGAGGCAGCGGUGGGGAAUCUUGCGCAAUGGGCGAAAGCCUGACGCAGCGACGCCGCGUGAGGGAUGACGGCCU